rnacentral:rRNA from 1 species
GACGAACGCUGGCGGCGUGCUUAACACAUGCAAGUCGAACGGAAAGGCCCUGCUUUUGUGGGGUGCUCGAGUGGCGAACGGGUGAGUAACACGUGAGUAACCUGCCCUUGACUUUGGGAUAACUUCAGGAAACUGGGGCUAAUACCUGAUAGGAGCUCCUGCUGCAUGGUGGGGGUUGGAAAGUUUCGGCGGUUGGGGAUGGACUCGCGGCUUAUCAGCUUGUUGGUGGGGUAGUGGCUUACCAAGGCUUUGACGGGUAGCCGGCCUGAGAGGGUGACCGGCCACAUUGGGACUGAGAUACGGCCCAGACUCAUACGGGAGGCAGCAGUGGGGAAUAUUGCACACUGGGCGGAAGCCUGAUGCAGCAACGCCGCGUGCGGGAUGACGGCCUUCGGGUUGUAAACCGCUUUCGCCUGUGACGAAGCGUGAGUGACGGUAAUGGGUAAAGAAGCACCGGCUAACUACGUG